rnacentral:lncRNA from 1 species
AGAGGCAAGGACUACAGAAAACCGCAGGACUUAAACUAACGGAAAGGGAACAUCUUUAACAAGCACAAGGCCCUGCAUUUGAUCCUAUGGACAUGAAAACCCUGGUCCUACUCUGUAUAAGAAGGCCUUUUUCAGUUUUAAAGCUGCUUGGUUGUUUCAGAGAGGACGGUUACUGAACACCUGCACACUCCAAGACUGCGGCAGAGCUGACAAGCUCCCGCCAGAGCUGAUCCCACUCAUCCCCAGUCAAGUGAGCCGGGCAGCACCAGCCCUUCAACACCGGAUGGCAUGCGGUGCACUGGUUUAAGGUCAGCAUGAAUCAGACCAAGACUCUUCAGCUUCAUCAGGGCUGUGGCCACCUGCUGCAAGAUUGGUCUUAUGUACUUGAGUGGCAGUGGGCUAAACUUGUUCUGCUUUAGAAAAUCGUACAAGUUCUGCUCCAACAUCUCAAACACAAGGCAGGACUUCAUAGCUGUUGGUCAUAGAGCAAAGGAUCUCAUGCUGGACCAGCUGGUAAUCCCCUUCUCCGCUGGAACUGCUACUCUUGGUGGUCACAGUGGUGGUCGUGGCAGCAGCACCCACCACGGUUCUGUUCUGCAGCAUGAGAGGGGGAUGUUCUUCUAUGAUCUGCACGCUACCGUUGCUGUCCACUUCCUCACUCUUUCUCUUCAAUCCACAUUUUUGAUAUGGCUCAAGCAAAGAAACGUUGCUCCUGUGAGUCAGGGUCUGGCUGCUUUGGAAGGUUGCUGUAGCGGCGCUGCCUGAGCUAUCAGCAGCUGUUACCACAAUAUGCUCCACGGCAGGAGCUGGGAGAAGGAGGCCCUGGUCGUAAGCAGGAAUAUUGAAAUUUGCUACCUGUUUCUUUGCACUGCAGAAGGCACUCGACGACACUGAUGGGGGCGAAAACACCUGCAGCUGUGAUGCCAUACCUACAUGGAGAGAAGGAAGAAUGAGACCACAGGGCUCACGAUGCGAAGCUCACCAACAGCACAUGUGAGAACAGGUGUAGCUGAUAAGACCACACUGUACUGUCUCCCUCCUCUCAAAGGAGGAAGAUCUGGUUUGAUUUUAAAUCUCAUUACUGAUCAACUUGCUCUAAAAUCUGUAAACUACAAUGUCCAGAGAUCAACUGUUCAGGACGCUAUCAAAAAAACGACCUGCCAGCCAGCGCCAACAUUUUUGUCAGCUGCUUUACCGGUUUGGCAGCCUCUAGCUUCAAUCUCAAAAACUUUACCAAAAUAUUCUUCAAACC